UUCGCCAGGGAACUACGAGCAUAAGCUUAAAACCCAAAGGACUUGGCGGUGCUUUAGACCCACCUAGAGGAGCCUGUUCUAUAACCGAUAAUCCCCGUUAAACCUCACCUUCUUUUGUUAUUUCCGCCUAUAUACCGCCGUCGUCAGCUUACCCUGCAAAGGUUCUUCAGUAAGCAAAAUUGAUAUUAUCCAAAACGCCAGGUCGAGGUGUAGCAUAUGAGAAGGAAAGAAAUGGGCUACAUUUUCUAAUUUAGAAAAUACGGAAAUUGCCAUGAAACAGCAUAUUGAAGGAGGAUUUAGCAGUAAGCAGAGAAUAGAGAGCUCU
rnacentral:rRNA from 1 species